GAGGAUUCAUACAACUCCAAGAAUAUAAAAUUAAAUACAUAAAACCCGUGUCCCUUUGUUAGGGCUGCAUCCAACCCUGGAGAGGAGAUUAGCCUUCCAUGAAGAGUUGAACAGCUGCACUGCAGGGGGACUUCAUGAUGAUUGGCUCCUUCCUCCUGUCGGCUCCCUCUCAACAAAUCAUCAUCUCUUCCUUUGGGAAAUCAUUCCCAAAGUACCCAAACUCUUCUCUCCCUUUCCUCUUCUUCCCAUGGGACUUCCCGAAUAAAAAACUAAUGGAUGGGUGAGAAAGAAUGGAACGGAAGAGAAUGAUUUUUCAGGAGAACUCUUCCUCCUUUAUAGGCUCGGCAUCCCCUCUCUCUCUUCCUCUCUGGCUGAUCCAAAUGGAAGGAUAAGGAUGUGGAGGUUCGAGUUGAUCCGGACGUUCGGAAGAUAGGCUGAGAUCUGAUCAUUUCUUCAAUGCGGAGGAGAUGCUUCACUACUGAGAGGAGAUGAAGAUGAAUCGCGAAGAAGAUGAGGUUGCUGGGAUUUUGUGGAAGGAGGGAACGAGCUGGGAGGAUGGACUUGGAUUCGGCUGGAAUUAAUCCCGCUACAGGGGAAUCCGGAAGAAGAUUUGCUGGCUUGGACAUAUGGGAGAUUGGUUGUUGAGCCAGGAGCAAGCGGAAUGAUGGAGAGGAUAAACUCUGUUUUGCUGCUGGCUUGUUUGGGAUCAAUCUGGGAGUUUGGGGAUCUGGAAGACUUUGAACGGGAUGAAGAGAAGUUGAGGAGGUUUGGGAACGGUGGAUACGGUUGGGAAUAGGGGAUUCAUAUAAGGCUUGGAUUUAUGAGCUGAGAAGAAGUCGGAAGAAGAGGAUCACGGGAUAAGCUUGGGAACUAGUGGAAAAAGAUGAACCUGUUCUUUGGACAUGGGAGAGAAAGAAUGUCAUGGAACGAAGGAGGAUAAGAGAAGAUGAAAUUUCGAUUGACGUGGAUGCAUGGGAGCUAGGAUAGAGCUAUGCACGUGGAACAAGGGUUGUGGACUGAGACACGAACGUGGGGAACUUGAUGAACGUGUGAAGGAAAAGAAAAAAAUUUGAUGGAAUGCAGUGUGGGUUUAAACAUCAUUCAAUUGGAUUUGACUUGACCUGCAUACAUACAGCUCAAUCAGUAAAUAAUCAAUUCAAACUCGAAUUAUUUCUAAUAAUUUAUUAAGGUGCAAUAAUGAAGGUAACUUAUCUUUUAUGGUUAAAUUUACAAAUUAUGUGAAUUAAAAUAAUGAUAAGUGCUAGGAGAAAGAGGUUAAUUUAUAUAUUAUUUAGCACUUAUCCAUUGCAUUUUAGUUAAAGAUUGUUUAAAAACUCAAUUUACCCCCUCCUCUUGGGUUGCAUAUCUGGGCAACAAUAUGUCAUAGUCUAAUGCUUGAAUAAAGAUGCGCAUGCAAGCUUUUCAAAAAGUGUAGUUCGUGCUAUUAAAUAGAGAAGGUCUGUUUGUAGAGUGACCCUCAAGGUGAGAUAUACCGACAGGGGCUGUCAUAGAUCUUUAACUCUUGACGGUUAAGUUAAAG
rnacentral:lncRNA from 1 species